GACGAACGCUGGCGGCGUGCUUAACACAUGCAAGUCGAGCGGUAAGGCCCUUUCGGGGGUACACGAGCGGCGAACGGGUGAGUAACACGUGGGUGACCUGCCCUCAGCUCUGGGAUAAGCCUGGGAAACCGGGUCUAAUACCGGAUAUGACUCCAUGACGCAUGUUGUGGGGUGGAAAGCCUUGUGCGGCUGAGGAUGGGCCCGCGGCCUAUCAGCUUGUUGGUGGGGUGANGGCCUACCAAGGCGACGACGGGUAGCCGGCCUGAGAGGGCGACCGGCCACACUGGGACUGAGACACGGCCCAGACUCCUACGGGAGGCAGCAGUGGGGAAUCUUGCGCAAUGGGCGAAAGCCUGACGCAGCGACGCCGCGUGAAGGAUG
rnacentral:rRNA from 1 species